rnacentral:ncRNA from 1 species
GUAAAAACUAUGAAAGAGUUCAGUAGAAUGUUACCCUGUUCAGGGAGGAUAAGUCGCUGACUGGAAGCUUAUCUACAGAAGGUACAUUUGAAUUUUCCCUCUGGAGUUCCCAUUCUGAAACUUAAAAUAGAGAAGUAGGUCUGGGCGGCUAAGCCGUUAUUAAAAUCAAGAGGACUUAUUUUUAAUAAGUCAAUUUGGGUGGUACCGCGAAGUUUAUCCUUCGUCCCAUUU